GGCUCACUUUGGUGUCACACUUCACUGUAACAAUCCUGAGAAGAUCAGCAUGCCCCCUGGAUAAAAUUUGAUAAGCAAAUUCAUAAAGCGUUCCAUUUUUUU